AGCUCGUAGGUGGUUUGUCGCGUUGUUCGUGAAAUCUCACGGCUUAACUGUGAGCGUGCGGGCGAUACGGGCAGACUUGAGUACUGCAGGGGAGACUGGAAUUCCUGGUGUAGCGGUGGAAUGCGCAGAUAUCAGGAGGAACACCGGUGGCGAAGGCGGGUCUCUGGGCAGUAACUGACGCUGAGGAGCGAAAGCGUGGGGAGCGAACAGGAUUAGAUACCCUGGUAGUCCACGCCGUAAACGGUGGGUACUAGGUGUGGGUUUCCUUCCUUGGGAUCCGUGCCGUAGCUAACGCAUUAAGUACCCCGCCUGGGGAGUACGGCCGCAAGGCUAAAACUCAAAGAAAUUGACGGGGGCCCGCACAAGCGGCGGAGCAUGUGGAUUAAUUCGAUGCAACGCGAAGAACCUUACCUGGGUUUGACAUGCACAGGACGCCGGCAGAGAUGUCGGUUCCCUUGUGGCCUGUGUGCAGGUGGUGCAUGGCUGUCGUCAGCUCGUGUCGUGAGAUGUUGGGUUAAGUCCCGCAACGAGCGCAACCCUUGUCUCAUGUUGCCAGCGGGUAAUGCCGGGGACUCGUGAGAGACUGCCGGGGUCAACUCGGAGGAAGGUGGGGAUGACGUCAAGUCAUCAUGCCCCUUAUGUCCAGGGCUUCACACAUGCUACAAUGGCCGGUACAAAGGGCUGCGAUGCCGCGAGGUUAAGCGAAUCCUUUUAAAGCCGGUCUCAGUUCGGAUCGGGGUCUGCAACUCGACCCCGUGAAGUCGGAGUCGCUAGUAAUCGCAGAUCAGCAACGCUGCGGUG
rnacentral:rRNA from 1 species